AACAUGCAAAUUGAAAUAUAUUUUACCAAUCAUUCUAGGACGACCACAACGGCAAGCACCACAUGAUGCACCAGCUCAGCACCCUUCCCCUUCUCACUCCCCCUCCACUUCCCAGUCCCCCUCCACUUCUCACUCCCCCUCCCCUUCUCACUCCCCCUCCCCUUCUCACUCCCCCUCCCCUUCUCACUCCCCCUCAGCUUCCCAAUCCCCCUCAGCUUCCCAAUCACCCUCAGCUUCACAAUCCACCUCAGCUUCCCAGUCACCCUCAGCUUCCCAGGCCCCCUCAGCUUCCCAGGCCCACUCCACUUUCCACUCCCCUUCUCAGCCAACCUCUCCUUCUCUUUCUGUGACCCCUUCUCCUCCUUCCCAUACCCCUUCUCCUUCUACUUCCAACUCACCUUCUCAGCCCCCCUCACCCUCAAUUGGCCUAACAUUUUCACCGCCCCCCUCGCCCUCUCAAUCAGACCCACCCUCUGAAAUUACAUCCCCAAUCCAACCUCCUUCCCCCAUCCAGCCUCCUUCCCCCAUCCAGCCUCCUUCCCCAAUCCCUCCUCCUUCCCCCAUCCAGCCGCCUUCCCCCAUCCAGCCGCCAUCCCCACCCAGUGAAUGGGCAGAGGAAGCCCCUGAAGACAGUUCAGGGAGUCUUCAUGUUGCCGAGGAAAAUGUUGCAGUUGGAGAUCCCACAAGUUUUGGAGGCAUUCUUUACACCAUGCGCCAACACCUGCAAGGAUUAAUGCAUUGUGUUGACAAUUUGCAAAAAUAUGCAUGAUAUUGUUUAUUUUCAAAAAAAAAAAAAAACUGAUUUAUUUAAAAAAAAAAAAAAAAAGUUGAUUAAAGUUAA